AUUCAUACUAUGAUUAUCAUUCUGAUGUGUUAUGUGUGCCAUACUGCACGUGUGGAAGAUAAGGUAGCUGGGAUGGUUUGUAUACGCCUGGUUCAGGGAGUGGCACUAUUAUGAGGUGGGGCCUUGUUGGAGUAGGUGUGAUCUCAUUGGAGGAAAUGUGUCACUGUGGCCAGGGGCUUUAAGACCCUCACCCUCGCUCCCUGGAAGCCAGUAUUCUCCUGUUUGCCUUCAGAAUAAGAUGUAGACUAUUCAGCUCUUCUUAAACCGUGCCUGCCUGAAUGCUGCAAUUUGGGAGACACAGGGCCCUUCCCUAUCCCAGAAAAACCAAAGGAAGGAGGGGUAGAAAGAGAGGAAGAUGAAGUCAACUGUCAAUGCUAACAAGGAGACAGCAUUGUAGCCAGCAGUGAGUGGACUUUCUCCUUUACAGGGCCCUUCACUCUGGCUAGGUUGCACUAAGUGAAACUCGAGACAGCUACACAUAGGAAAACCACUGUAUACAUGCAGGAUAUGGGUAUGGGCUUCUCAAGACUUCAUUAAGGUGUAUUUACACCAGCUAUAUAUGAUGUUGUGGCUAAGUUCUUUUGUUCAAACAAUGUAAUUUAAUGUUACCAUUAAGCAAAGUCUAAGAUUACAGUAAGAAUAUGUUAACUAAUUUAGUUAUUUUUCUAAUUGUCUUUUGUAAGAUCGUGUCAAGAGGUGCAUUGUUUAGAUUUGUGGAAGCACUAAUAUGGUAGACUCAAGUCUACAAUCAAACCAGCCCUAAGUAUACAAUGAUCUGUUGUUUUUAAUGCCACUGUUUGAGAUGUCCUUAGGAAAACAAACAAAAAUGGGGGGUGGGGGAACAACAGGAAUUCAGAAACUCUGAAUUUGAGUGCCCAAAAUAAUUUGAGACAAUUCACAGGAUAUAAUUCUUAGAGGUGAAAUUCAAUUUUGAAAGGGAAAAAAGAUGGUUAUGGUACUAAUUAAUGUACUUUACUGAUCUCUACGGCGCUAUCUUAGCAACAACACCUAAGGGGUCAACUCACUUUGUGCACUAGCAUAAUGGAACCACACUCUAAGACCACUCUUCCUUCAAUAAAGUGUCAGCUUAGCACCCAGGCAGCAGAGACAGGAAGCCUGAGUCACACAGUGAGCCUCCCAAACAAACCAGCUGGAGAGAUGAUGGGUCAGUGGGUAAGAGCACUGGUUGCUCUUUUAGGGGACCUAGGUUGGAUCCCAGUACCCACAUAGUACCUCAAAACAACCAGUUUUAACUCCAGUCUCAGAUGAUUUGACAUACUCUUCUAGACUCUUUGGGCACUGCAUGCAUAUUGUGUGCAGACAUGCAUGCAGGCAAAACAUCCAUAAAAAUAAAGACCAAAACCCCUUAAAAAUAACAACAAAGGGGUUGGGGAUUUAGAUCAGCGGUAGAGCGCUUGCCUAGCGAGCGCAAGGCCCUGGGUUCGGUCCCCAGCUCUGAAAAAAAAAAAUAAUAACAACAAAAUCUUCAACUUAUAGCUACUUAUAAUCAAUUUAUAGCUAGCCAUUCAACUGAUGGCCAGUGAGUUGAUGACACAGCAUAAUCACCCACGCAUUAGUGAUGCUUCCUGUCAGCGCCAAAUCCACCCUCAUUGCUCUCUUCUUUUGCCCUUUUCUUUACUUUUUUUUUUGGACAAAGGGUCUUACUAUGUAGUUCAGGCUGACUUUGGACUUUUAAUUGUCCCUCUUGGCGCCCCAACCCCAAUACUGGGUACAAAAUAACAAUUUUAUUUUGUUAUUCUUUAAAGAACAACCAAACAGAAACCACAGUAGAUCCUAAGAGAUUUUCAAAUUCAGAACAAAGUGGCAAAAGAACUCCCAGAGCCCCCUAAAACUGGUAUUAGGAACCCAGUGGUCCUUCUGUACAAUGGUCCUCCUGUAUCCAUUUACAACUAAUUCCAGGAAUGCCUCAGGCAGUAAAAUUCAGAUGCCCAGGCUCUUCAUAUGGUACAGCACUUGCAUGUAACAGCUGUCCAUACUGACCUGUACAUUUUAAAUAAUCAUCUCUAGAGACUAGGUAAUAACAGACCACUGCUAACUACUGAGAAAGCUAAGGCACAAAGAAUCCCUGUGAAUGUCCUUAACAUUAUUUACAAACAGUAAAUAAUUAUAUAUCCAAAAGUACAGACAAUCCUAAGUCCAUUAAACAGACAGGAUGGAUAACUGUGAUAUAACUGUAAAACUGGCUAUCAUUUGGCUACAAAAGGAAUGAAGUGAACUAGAAAGCUUAGCUGGCUAAGUGCUUGGCUGCAAUCACCUGAGGCACCUGAGUUCAAAUCCUCUGAACCCAUGCAAAAGCUGACUCAUGCCUGUAAUCCUAGUGCUAAGGAAGCACUGACAUGAGGAUCCCAAGGGCUUGCUGUCCAGGCAGUCUAGACAAACCAGAGAACUAGAGCUCCUGGAAGAAGGGGAGGAAGGACAGAAGAAACCAGAGGGUUUAGGGAUAUCACAAGAACACAGCCCACAGAAUCAACUGGCCAGAACUCAUGAAGGCUCGCAGAGAUCAGGGAGCCUAUAGGGGUCUGACCUAUGUCCUCUGCAUAUAUGCUAUGGCUGAGUAGCUUGGUGUUCUUGUUGGGUUCCUAACAGAGGGAAUGGGGGCUGUUCCUGACUCUUCUGUCUAUGUAUGAGACACUAUUCCUCCUACUCAGUUGCCUCUCCAGCUAUGAUGUGUCUGAUCUUACUGUAACUUGUUACACCAUGUUUGGUUGAUAUCCUUGGAAGGCCAGCUCUUGUUUGAGGGGAGGCAUUGGAUUGUGAGUAGGGAGAGAAGGAAGGUGCUGGGGAAAGACUUGGGGGAAGCGGGUGGGGAAAACUGCAGUUGGGAUGUAAUAUCUGAGAGAAGAAUAAAACAGUUUUAACAAGGUAGAGACUGAUAGAAGAUACCUAUCAUCAAUCAACCUUUAACUUCCAUGUUCACGUAUCCAUGUACCCACACAUAUGAAUACAAAUAUGUUGUACAUAUGAAUAUACAUCCCACACAUAUGUAUGAAAUAGGAUUGAUAGGACAAUACAAUGCUUACUGUACAAGAAUAAGGACCUAUGUUCCAUCCCCAGCACCUACAUAAAAACCUAGACAUGGUGACACAUGCCUGUAAUCCCAGCACUGGAGAGGUAGAGACAGAAUGAAUGAUCCCUAUAGCUUACUAGCCAGCUAUCCAAACCUCAUCAAGGAGCCUCGGGUCCCACCGAAAGUCCGUCUCAACAAGCGGUUAACUCCUGAGGAACAAUGGUCUGAGGCUGAUUAAUGGCCCCUAACUUGCACACAGUACCUAAACAACAUCAUGCUAAGUGAAGCCAAACACCAACAGCCACAUGUUGCAUGGUCUCAGUCAUAUGAAAUGUCUAGAACAGCUAGACAGAACAGAACAAGAGCUGAGCAUGCAGGGAAUAGAGAAUAACUGCUAAUACAUAUAAUCUUUCUUUUCAGGGUGAUCAAAUGUUUAUGGGUUAGAAUCUACAGUGGAACAUAUUAAAAGCCAAUGAAUUUGUUAGUGUAUGCAAUCAAAGUCCUCUCAAAAACUAUAAUGUUUAUAUAAAACAAAUGCUAAUUGUA